rnacentral:misc_RNA from 1 species
GAUGAAGAACGCAGCGAAAUGCGAUACGUAAUGUGAAUUGCAGAUUUUAGUGAAUCAUCGAAUCUUUGAACGCACAUUGCGCCCCCUGGUAUUCCGGGGGCAUGCCUGUCCGAGCGUCAUUACAACCCUCAAGCUCAGCUUGGUGUUGGGCCCCGCCGCCCCGGCGGGCCCUAAAGUCAGUGGCGGUGCCGUCCGGCUCCGAGCGUAGUAAUUCUUCUCGCUCUGGAGGUCCGGUCGUGUGCUCGCCAGCAACCCCCAAUUUUUUUCAGGUUGACCUCGGAUCAGGUAGGGAUACCCGCUGAACUUAAGCAUAUCAAUAAGCGGAGGA